rnacentral:rRNA from 1 species
UUCGCCCGCCGCGCCCCGCGCCCGGCCCGCCGCCCCCGCCCCGCAUCGAUGAAGAACGCAGCGAAAUGCGAUACGUAAUGUGAAUUGCAGAAUUCAGUGAAUCAUCGAAUCUUUGAACGCACAUUGCACUCUCUGGUAUUCCGGAGAGUAUGCUUGUUUGAGUAUCUGUAAACAUCUCAAAUCUCUCUUCGCUUGCGUCGAGAGAAUUGGAUUUGAGCGAUCCCGACCCCUUCGUCAGAAAGAGGAGGGUCGCUUGAAAUGCAGGUACCAGCUGGACAUUCUUCUGAGCUAAAAGCAUAUCUAUUUAGUCCCGUCAAACGGAUCAUUACUUUUGCUUCAGCUAAUAUAAAGGUCGAAUGAACUACCAACGCUGAUUGCAGGAAAACUUGUUCGUUUAUUCGGACUUGUAAACUCGAUCUCAAAUCAAGUAAGACUACCCGCUGAACUUAAGCAUAUCAAUAAGCGGAGGAA